rnacentral:RNase_P_RNA from 1 species
CGAGUCGGCCGGGCGGCCGCGGCAUCGUCCAGAUGUCGAGGAAAGUCCGGACUCCGAAGGGCAAGGUGAUGGGUAACGCCCAUCCGGAGAGAUCCGCGGGACAGUGCAACAGAGAGUAGACCGCCACUCAUUACUGGGUGGUAAGGGUGAAACGGUGGUGUAAGAGACCACCAGCAGUCGGGGCGACCCGAUUGGCUCGGUAAACCCCACCCGGAGCAAGGCCAAGAGGUUGAUGCACAGCAUUGACUGCGCGAGCGUUCGAGGGCGGCCCGCCCGAGUUCGCGGGUAGGCUGCACCAGGUCGUCGGCAACGACGGUCGCAGAUGGAUGGUCGCCGCCGGGAAACCGGCACAGAAUCCGGCUUAUAGGUCGACUCGUUCC